rnacentral:tRNA from 1 species
UAAGAAGUAUUUUAUAGAAGAAUGUUUAAUUGUUGAUUAAAAGGAAUAUUUCUUAG